rnacentral:rRNA from 1 species
CCUACGAGAGGCAGCAGUAGGGAAUAUUGCACAAUGGGGGAAACCCUGAAGCAGCAACGCCGCGUGGAUGAUGAAGGUUUUCGGAUUGUAAACUUCUUUUGUUAGAGAAGAUAAUGACGGUAUCUAACGAAUAAGCACCGGCUAACUCCGUGCCAGCAGCCGCGGUAAUACGGAGGGUGCAAGCGUUACUCGGAAUCACUGGGCGUAAAGAGCGCGUAGGCGGGAGCGCAAGUCAGAUGUGAAAUCCUAUGGCUUAACCAUGGAACUGCAUUUGAAACUGUGAUUCUAGAGUACGGGAGAGGUAGGUGGAAUUCUGAGUGUAGGGGUAAAAUCCGUAGAGAUGAGGAGGAAUACUCAUGGCGAAGGCGGCCUGCUAGAACGUAACUGACGCUGAUGCGCGAAAGCGUGGGGAGCAAACAGGAUUAGAUACCCGAGUAGUC